CAUAAGUCUAAUAAAGGUGAAUUACUGGAAGAAUUCUUGAAAUAUCCCAGGGUAUAACAAAGAUUCCUUAAUGACUAUGAACUAAGAAACAAAUACAAUGAUCAGAGAUCAUUACCAAACCAGAACUGGCAGAUUCACUCUACAGGCCUGUUGCUGGCUUAUGAAGUAAGCAGCCAUGCUGGGGAGACCCACAUGGUGAUGUCCCUCCACCCACUCCUCCAGAAAUCCAUGAGGAGCCUCGGUCCUUGCUCUGGGAGCCAAAGUCCAUAAAGAACUCAAGUGAGCUUUGAAGGGAUUUCUCUCCCAGCAAAUUAAGUUCCAAUAGCUCCUUGGAGAGGGGUAGGGCCUCAUGAUCUCUUCUUAUCCAUGUUGGAAUAUUGAUGGGUCCAGUCUUGUGCAG